rnacentral:rRNA from 1 species
GAUGAACGCUGGCGGCGUGCCUAAUACAUGCAAGUCGAGCGAACAGACGAGGAGCUUGCUCCUCUGACGUUAGCGGCGGACGGGUGAGUAACACGUGGAUAACCUACCUAUAAGACUGGGAUAACUUCGGGAAACCGGAGCUAAUACCGGAUAAUAUAUUGAACCGCAUGGUUCAAUAGUGAAAGACGGUUUUGCUGUCACUUAUAGAUGGAUCCGCGCCGCAUUAGCUAGUUGGUAAGGUAACGGCUUACCAAGGCAACGAUGCGUAGCCGACCUGAGAGGGUGAUCGGCCACACUGGAACUGAGACACGGUCUAGACUCCUACGGGAGGCAGCAGUAGGGAAUCUUCCGCAAUGGGCGAAAGCCUGACGGAGCAACGCCGCGUGAGUGAUGAAGGUCUUCGGAUCGUAAAACGCUGUUAUUAGGGAAGAACAAAUGUGUAAGUAACUAUGCACGUCUUGACGGUACCUAAUCAGAAAGCCACGGCUAACUACGU